rnacentral:rRNA from 1 species
GACCGGCGCACGGGUGCGUAACGCGUAUGCAAUCUACCUUUUACAGAGGGAUAGCCCAGAGAAAUUUGGAUUAAUACCUCAUAGUAUUACGACCCGGCAUCAGGAUGUAAUUAAAGUCACAACGGUAAAAGAUGAGCAUGCGUCCCAUUAGCUAGUUGGUAAGGUAACGGCUUACCAAGGCUACGAUGGGUAGGGGUCCUGAGAGGGAGAUCCCCCACACUGGUACUGAGACACGGACCAGACUCCUACGGGAGGCAGCAGUGAGGAAUAUUGGACAAUGGGCGCAAGCCUGAUCCAGCCAUGCCGCGUGCAGGAUGACGGUCCUAUGGAUUGUAAACUGCUUUUAUACAGGAAGAAACACCUCUACGUGUAGAGACUUGACGGUACUGUAAGAAUAAGGAUCGGCUAACUCCGUGCCAGCAGCCGCGGUAAUACGGAGGAUCCAAGCGUUAUCCGGAAUCAUUGGGUUUAAAGGGUCCGUAGGCGGUUUAGUAAGUCAGUGGUGAAAGCCCAUCGCUCAACGGUGGAACGGCCAUUGAUACUGCUAGACUUGAAUUAUUAGGAAGUAACUAGAAUAUGUAGUGUAGCGGUGAAAUGCUUAGAGAUUACAUGGAAUACCAAUUGCGAAGGCAGGUUACUACUAAUGGAUUGACGCUGAUGGACGAAAGCGUGGGUAGCGAACAGGAUUAGAUACCCUGGUAGUCCACGCCGUAAACGAUG